UUCUUCAGGGCAGGGUGUGAUUCCCUACCGGCGGUAUAGUCCGCGAACGCCUCUGGCGCCGAUCCGGUGCGAUUCCGGAACCGACAGUAUAGUCUGGAUGAAAGAAGAC
rnacentral:ncRNA from 1 species